rnacentral:rRNA from 1 species
AUGAAAUCAUUCAACCAACGAGAAAGUUAUGCACUAAGAAAUAGUGCCAUGUCCAGCAUACUGCGUGUAAGACAUAAAACACAAAUGGAACAGACAUGGUCAAUUGAGAUCCGAAACAGUACAGGAGCACUCAAUAUCUUUAGAAUUACAAGACAUGCUAAUCUGCAACGAGUAUCAAAUUCUCUCUUCAACAUCCGUGAAUAUCCGGUGAUUCUUAAUCCUACCAGGCUACAUAUUCUACCAAAACCAUGGAAUCCCAUCUCAAAUCCCAGUUUCCUUCAUAUAUGUCACUUGAACAGCAGCAUGUAUGAUAUUGCAAGAAAACCUUGUCCGGGAGAGUCUCUAGAAGCAGACAGGAAACUUAUCUUGGAAGUUGCUACAUCAGUCGAUCUUCACAGAAGCAUAGAUCUUCCUCACAAACCAGAAGCAAGCAUAGAAGCCAAUGGUGCCAGUCAGGACAAAGAAGGCAUAAGAAAUGAUCAGCAUGUAACCAAAGUAGAGAAUGCCUGA